rnacentral:rRNA from 1 species
AUUGAACGCUGGCGGCAGGCUUAACACAUGCAAGUCGAGCGGGGGAAGGUAGCUUGCUACCGGACCUAGCGGCGGACGGGUGAGUAAUGCUUAGGAAUCUGCCCAUUAGUGGGGGACAACAUCUCGAAAGGGAUGCUAAUACCGCAUACGUCCUACGGGAGAAAGCAGGGGAUCUUCGGACCUUGCGCUAAUAGAUGAGCCUAAGUCGGAUUAGCUAGUUGGUGGGGUAAAGGCCUACCAAGGCGACAAGCUGUAGCGGGUCUGAGAGGAUGAUCCGCCACACUGGGACUGAGACACGGCCCAGACUCCUACGGGAGGCAGCAGUGGGGAAUAUUGGACAAUGGGGGGAACCCUGAUCCAGCCAUGCCGCGUGUGUGAAGAAGGCCUUAUGGUUGUAAAGCACUUUAAGCGAGGAGGAGGCUACUCUAGUUAAUACCUAGGGAUAGUGGACGUUACUCGCAGAAUAAGCACCGGCUAACUCUGUGCCAGCAGCCGCCGCGG